rnacentral:rRNA from 1 species
UUUAUUUGUACAAUUUUGUAAAAUUUAGUUAAUAUUGUUAUAUUAUAUAAACAAAUUUAAAAGAAAAAAAAAUCACAUUUUGUUAUAACGCUCUUUUGCGCUUACAGUUUUUACUAUGCGAUUUUAAUUUUUAAGUUAUUUUUAUUUGUUUUUAUUAGGUUGUUGUGCCUUUUGCAUCAUGCUGUUUCGAUGACUAAGUUUAUUGCUUUUUACCGAAAGGGUUUGAUUUUUAAUUCAAUUGGUUAGAAUUUAUUAUCGGGUAGAUUGAAAAAUUGAUUUAACGUUGUGAUAAAUUAGUCGUUUUCCUUUAUAUCUGUUUUUUGUCAGAUAUUUCUAUUUAUUUAUAGGGCAGAGAGGUCCUGUAAAGAUGUAUAUAUUUAUGUUUUGUAUUUGAUUUAAUAGGGUUAAAAAUCCCCGUUUGUAGUAGUUUUGUUACAAUUUAUUUUAUUUUGGUGGUUAAUAUUACGUUUAAAUGACAAAUAAGUUUAACAGUUUGUUAUAUUUAUGAUACAAUGAGUAAUGAGAUAAACUAUAUUGUUUCUCAAGCAUAUUCCGUCUGUUUAUUAAAAACAUUUCUAUAUAAAAUUUUAUAUAGUAAGACCUGCUCAGUGUUUGAUUAUUAACGGCCGCAGUAUUUUGACUGUGCGAAGGUAGCAUAAUUAAUUGCCCUUUAAUUGGGGGCUCGUUUGAAUGGUUUGACGUGGUUAUUGUUAACAUUAUGUUUGUUUGUGAAAUUAAUUUUGAGGGCACAGAAUCCUCUUUAUUUAAUUAGACGGAAAGACCCCGGGAUCUUUCUAUUUUGCCUGGGGCGGGUUACAUUUUUCAAACUUUAUUUUGACCUUAUAUUGGGUUUAUUGGUUUAAGUUACCCCGGGGAUAACAGUGUAAUAAUUUAUUAGAGAUCAUAUCGAUUAAAUUGUUUGCCACCUCGAUGUUGACUUAGGUAUUAUAGUGUGGCGCAGUAGUCUUACUAUGUGGUCUGUUCGACCUUAAUUACCUCCAUGAGUUGAGUUAAGACCGGCGUGAGCCAGGUCGGUUCUUAUCUAUUUGGCUGGUUUAUUAGUACGAAAGGACCAUAAACUGUUUUUGU